rnacentral:rRNA from 1 species
CUUUAUUGGAGAGUUUGAUCCUGGCUCAGGAUGAACGCUGGCGGCGUGCCUAAUACAUGCAAGUCGAGCGAAUGGAUUAAUCGCUUCCUCUCAUG